GGAUUAGAUACCCUGGUAGUCCACGCCGUAAACGAUGUCUACUUGGAGGUUGUUCCCUUGAGGAGUGGCUUUCGGAGCUAACGCGUUAAGUAGACCGCCUGGGGAGUACGGUCGCAAGAUUAAAACUCAAAUGAAUUGACGGGGGCCCGCACAAGCGGUGGAGCAUGUGGUUUAAUUCGAAGCAACGCGAAGAACCUUACCAGGUCUUGACAUCCUAGAAACUUAGCAGAGAUGCUUUGGUGCCUUCGGGAACUCUGAGACAGGUGCUGCAUGGCUGUCGUCAGCUCGUGUUG
rnacentral:rRNA from 1 species